rnacentral:rRNA from 1 species
UGGGGAAUAUUGGACAAUGGGCGCAAGCCUGAUCCAGCCAUGCCGCGUGAGUGACGAAGGCCUUAGGGUUGUAAAGCUCUUUUGGCGGGGACGAUAAUGACGGUACCCGCAGAAUAAGCCCCGGCUAACUUCGUGCCAGCAGCCGCGGUAAUACGAAGGGGGCUAGCGUUGUUCGGAAUUACUGGGCGUAAAGCGCGCGUAGGCGGGCUGGUCAGUUGGGGGUGAAAUCCCGGGGCUUAACCUCGGAACUGCCCUCAAUACUACCAGUCUAGAGUUCGAGAGAGGUAAGUGGAAUUCCUAGUGUAGAGGUGAAAUUCGUAGAUAUUAGGAAGAACACCAGUGGCGAAGGCGGCUUACUGGCUCGAUACUGACGCUGAGGCGCGAAAGCGUGGGGAGCAAACAGGAUUAGAUACCCGCGUAGUCC